UCGGGUCUAAGUAUAGGCAAUUAUACCGUGAAACUGCGAAUGGCUCAUUAAAUCAGUUAUCGUUUAUUUGAUAGUACCUUACUACUUGGAUACCUGUGGUAAUUCUAGAGCUAAUACAUGCUAAAAACCCCGACUUCGGAAGGGGUGUAUUUAUUAGAUAAAAAAUCAAUGCCCUUCGGGGCUCCUUGGUGAUUCAUAAUAACUUCUCAGAUCGCAUGGCCUUGCGCCGGCGACGGUUCAUUCAAAUUUCUGCCCUAUCAACUUUCGAUGGUAAGGUAUUGGCUUACCAUGGUUUCUACGGGUAACGGGGAAUUAGGGUUCGAUUCCGGAGAGUUAGCCUGAGAAACGGCUAACACAUCCAAGGAAGGCAGCAGGCGCGCAAAUUACCCAAUCCUGAUACAGGGAGGUAGUGACAAUAAAUACUGAUACAGGGCUCUUUUGGGUCUUGUAAUUGGAAUGAGUACAAUUUAAACCUCUUAACGAGGAACAAUUGGAGGGCAAGUCUGGUGCCAGCAGCCGCGGUAAUUCCAGCUCCAAUAGCGUAUAUUAAAGUUGUUGCAGUUAAAAAGCUCGUAGUUGAACCUUUGGCCUGGCUGGCAGGUCCGCCUCACCGCGUGCACUUGUCCGGCCGGGCCUUUUCUUCUGGAGAACCGCAUGCCCUUCACUGGGUGUGUUGGGGACCAGGACUUUUACUUUGAAAAAAUUAGAGUGUUCAAAGCAGGCCUUUGCUCGAAUAUUACAGCAUGGAAUAAUAAAAUAGGACGUGCGGUUCUAUUUUGUUGGUUUCUAGGACCGCCGUAAUGAUUAAUAGGGACAGUCGGGGGCAUCAGUAUUCAAUUGUCAGAGGUGAAAUUCUUGGAUUUAUUGAAGACUAACUACUGCGAAAGCAUUUGCCAAGGAUGUUUUCAUUAAUCAGUGAACGAAAGUUAGGGGAUCGAAGACGAUCAGAUACCGUCGUAGUCUUAACCAUAAACUAUGCCGACUAGGGAUCGGGCGGUGGUAUUAUUUUGACUCGCUCGGACCUUACGAGAAUUC
rnacentral:rRNA from 1 species